GCACCUCCCAUCAGGAGCACGUGAUGGCAAUUUCUCCCAUUCGUGCUGAUGGUAAGUUUGACCACGUUGUUAAGAGAGCAUUCGCCAAAUUUUCCAUCUUUAAAGAUAUCUUUUGCCCCUUUGUAAAUGCCCCAUGUGGGGUGAUAUUUUGAUAAUUCCCCUUUGUAAGUAUCCCUUUGGGGUGGAUAGCUUCUUCCUCGAUAGGCUGUCACCCAUGCUUUUAGCGUACAUUGAUGAUUCUUGCCCGAAUACUCAUUUUUAAGGGAACAUUGGGAACAACAUCGAUUCGUGUUCAAACUGUAAAAUCUUGAUAAGCAUUUUCCUUGGUUUUUUAGUUGGUGAGAACUGUGGUGUCCGCUUGGGAACUUUUUCCUUUCAUCACAGAGCAAUCCCUGAGGGAAUUUGUGCCACAUGGAACUCAGCUUGCUCGCCUGCAUGGGGACACGAGAGGCGCAGCAGCGGUCUGGGAAGCCGGCUGUAGAAUAACAUUGAGGCGUCAACGUGUAACACGCCAUUGACGACCAGUGUGCCAGACCCCACAUAACGUGUGUCGGACGUAAUCCUUGCCUUUGAGAGAUUUGGUAACGGAUCAAAGACGGCGAAAACCUUGGAGAGCUUAGUCUCUGUGUCCGGAAUUUUAUAACUCAAAGCCUUAAUUUCUCUUCAAAACAAUUCUCACAGUUUUUCUGUGUAUCUCUGAGGAUCAUACUCCUAAAACCUUCUGUUCUUGAGAAAAGGAAGGUCCCUUCUGUCACCCGUGCCAAACGGAUACUCUGCAUAGGCUUGAAGGUGACAGCUCACUUUAGAGUGAGGGGAUGAUUUUAACCAGUGGAAAAGGACAAUGAAAACAAGAGGGGCGCGUGAAGACCUCGGGGUAUGAAGAAGCUCACGCCCGCUUCUCACCGGCUGGGCUUUAAGGCCUAUGUCCCUGAGUCCCGUGGCAGACACCUUCCCUCCUCUGUGCCACAGCAGGGAAUCUGCGUCACCCCUGCCUGGUCGAAACCCAGGCCGGGAGAGGUGCUCCCAACCCCUUUGGCAGCAUCCCUCCUGACUCUUGCAGGAGACCAGCUUUUGUGCAGGUCAGCAUCGUUCCCGGACCACAGGGACGGGCCUUGGACGGGGAGUUUUUGUUCAAAAGCUUCCAGUUGCUUCUGUGUUCUCUCGCCCGAUCCACCAGGCUCUUUUGCGCUCACAUUUCAACAGUGCACGAAGGAGCGUUGGUCUUGAGAGCCUCCGAGAUCAUCCUGGCGCCAGACUCCCCAAUGUGAUUUCCCUGGAGGCUGGAAGAGAAGGAUUCGGACCCGGCUUGAGAGAGGGGCUCAAGGGCCAGAGGCCUGCAAGUCCCUUUAGUAAAGAGCAGACAGUCACUACACGAAAUGCAGAACUCCAGGCAAGACCAAGCUUCCAGGAUCCCUCCUAUGGGGAAGGCCCAGAAUGGCUCCCUCUUAUACCGGGCUGCCCCGCAGAGCCGCUGAGAGACCUGGGAGUCUGCCAGCUCCAGGAAUUGGGCGGAAGGCAGGGCCUGACCUGGGAGCCGUGAGCCUGGGGGGGGGGGGGGGGGGGGGGCAGAAUGGCAGGGAAGGGCCGAGCCCCACUCACUUGAUGUGCUGGAGGCCGCGGUUCCCAGAGAGUGCCGUGGCAACGCAUAUCACCCCAUCCAUCCCCAAGGAGUUCUCUUGAAGACUAGGCAGAGAAAAGAUGCAGACACCAUCGUGAGCCAUUCGGGACAGAACACGCGCCGGGAAGCAGCGCUGCAUCGAUCACAGGUGCCCCAGCGAGAGCAAGGUGGCCUUUACCCCUGAGACCAGUGUCUACCGGUAGCCAGGUGGUCCCGUCCGAGCGCCAUGGAGGAUGGAAGACCAAAAACGCAGGCAUUAAAUGGCUUACCUCUGACAUAAGCUAGAUAGAAUGAACAAACUCCUCUGCAACGUGGACUCGAGUGCUAUUUCUAGUCAGAGGGAAGCGGCUUACAGAGGAAGUCAAGAACGUCUCAUUUCGUGGGGAGGUUCCAGCAGAGAAGUCUGCCGGGCCAGGGUGGAGGUAGGUCUCUACAACCACUCACUUGAGUCUUCGGAGACUUGAGUUGACCUUCAGAGCAUUUGCCAGGGCUUUGGCUCCGGCCACCCCGAUGGCGUUUCCUCUUAAGCUGUCAGGAAAGAUACGAAGCCUAAAGCACAGUGACAGCUGUGGGGUGUAAACAGUACCUCCUCAGACGAGCACGGGCCGCUGGGUAGAGGCAGCAGGGACACAGCAACCACGGGGGGGCGGUUCCUCCUUCCUGACUCCCCGGCCCAGAACAGAGAUCGGCUCUGGGGAGCAGGACGCACCAGGAGGGGUGAAGCUGGCCCAACCUGGGUGGUUCGUUGGAGCCCUCGCCCUCCAUCCCAAGGGAAGGAGAGUGGGGCUGAGGUGAGAGAGGAGACACUUCCUCCAGCGGUCCCCACAUGGUCAGCGUCACAGGACCACAAGAGCAGGAAUGACUGAGACAUGCCUGAGACCCCCCACUGAGCUUAAGUCGCCCUUGCCCCUGCCCCCGCCCCCGCCCCCGCCCGGGGUUUGGAUCUACUCCUAGACCAAGGUCAGUGGCCAAGGACCCCUACAGAGGGCCUCGGGAUGUGCGCAGCCUGGGCAAGACCGAGGAGAGCAGGAGCCACAGCGGUGACUCCCAGGGAAGAGCUUGGUUCGUUUGGGUAAGAGACAGCAACCAGAGACUGGAAUACUCACUCGAGAAUCUCCAAGGUCCUGUUCACAGCCAGGGCAUCCCCUAGCGCCUGGGCCCCCCGGGCACCAACGGAGGCCACCUGCAGACUAUGCAGAAGAGAUGGGGUCAGUGCGGACAGGCUGGGGCGCUCCGGCCUGCACCCCGCCUGGCCCAGCUUCCAUGCAUCCUUGUCCUUCCUUCUCCACCCCUGGACUGAGGGCUGCAAGUGACAACAUAGCACUGAAAACUGUUGGCCCGUGAUCCGUCCAGAGAACGCCGCGCCUCCGGCCUCCCCUGAUGCCGAGGACAGAGAUCGGGAUGCUACGGAUACGGGAAGCAGAGGUGGUUCCCUGGAGGGUCUGAGGAAAAACACUCCCUGAACCCCUACUUCUUACUUUGUCCCAAUGGCUAACAUUAGGAAAAUUUAACACCUUCUUGGCUGGGAAGCAACACUGAUGUUUGGUAUGAAAGCAGGGCUCAGGGCCGGCUGCCUGGGCGGCCGUGCACGUCAACACUUACUAGAGAGCAGUGAGGGCCGUGUUGGCCUUUAGUGCGCUGGCCAGUGCGGAGGCGCCCUCGUCCCCGAUGGCGUUCUCCUGCAAACUGAACACAGAGCGUGACCCCCGGGUUCACAGGGCACGGGGCUAGCGGCACUCCAGCAUGACGUCCUGAACUUGGACCUUCUAGUUUUCAUUCAGACCACGCACACCGCAGACUAGACCCCCAGGGUUGCCGAGGGGAUAACCGACCCCACGGCCUCCUGAUUAACAUGCAGAGGGCUCUGGGGCCUCUAUGAACCUGGAUCAUCAGAAGCAAACAAGAAAAGGGACGCGUGGAAAUACGCUUCAGGGUGAGGACACGAAAAUGGGCGUGCCAGCCAGAGAAUUCAGUCGAAGCCCUUAGUCCCUGGCCAUUCUUGCUCAUCAGGGUUUUACAUCUUUUUUUUUUUUUUUUUUCCUUCCCUUCCACAUUGGAGUAAAGUCAGUUCCUAGCGCAGUAAGUGAUGGAGAGUUUACCUCGGGUGGGCAUUGGGGUGUUGAAGGGAGCAGUCUGCAUUCGCGAUUUUAGCAGACGUGUUAGUGCGUGUGGUGCCCUGGCCUGAUCCUGUCUCAGGUGGGCGGUUGUGACUGAACGAGCCGGCACCGUGGGCCACGUGCUGGGGGGGACGGAGGAGCCCGUGGGGUCUCCUGCCCCCGUGUGGUCACGGAGGCCACCGGGAGAAAUAGGUCUGAACUGAAACCUGCAGGAUGAGAGUUGGGGGAGGGGGCCUGGCACAUCCACGGAACCCAAAGAAAUGGCAUCAAGUGGCUGGCGUGUGAAAUGACGGAAGCAGGCCUUUGGGGCCUUUGUUAGAAGCCACACCGAGGGGUGGGUUUCACUCUGCAGGCACUGGGCAGCCAUUGAAGCAUCUCAGGACGGGGACAGAUACACAUUUUGGAAAGAUGUUUGGCCAGCAGUGUGAGCGGAUGGACUGGAUGUGGAGGCUGCUACGGGGACGCAGGGUGAGUGGAGCUGGUGGCCUGACGGUGGCCGCGAGGGUAGAGGGAGACGGUGGGGCCUUGGGAGGAGAGUCGCAAGUGGGAAGCGAGAACAGAGACGAUGUUUCUAGCUCGCAGGCCGGGUUGGCCGGGCCCGUUCGUGAGGUGGAGCUGAGAACAGACUCGUGGGGAGGCGGCGUGGGCAGUGAUUACGUGGGUCUGGGGCUCAGGAGAGAGGGGUCUAGACGCGGGGGCACCGGGACUUUGAAGUCCAGGAGUGUGCAAGAGGACAGCUUCUGGAAUAGAGAGCUCGUUCGAGACAAGAUGGCCUAGAACAGAUCCCUGAGGAGCCCCAGGAUGUCAGUGAGACAGAAGAACCAGCCAGAAAUGGGCUAUCCUGGAUGCCAAGGGAGAAGCCAUGGGCGUGGUCCAAAGCAGGCGAGACUCAGAGGGUUAGAGACAGGGUUCCCAUUCACCUCCGCGGCUCCACUCGCUCAUGUGCCCAAGAGAAAUGAAAGCGUAUGUCCAGGCAGAAGCUUGUACACGAACGUUCACAGCAGCGUUACGAGAGCCAAACUGUCCAAACCACCCAGAUGUUCCUCGACAGAUGGGGGGAUAAAUGGCAUGUCAAUCUGCACAGCGGAAUAGGAUUCAGCCACAGAAAGGAAUGAAGCCCUGAUUCCUGCUGCAACCUGGGUGAACCUUGGAAAGCUGAUACCGAACGAAAGACCUUGGUGGCAAGAGGUCACACGCUGUUCAGUCCCACGUACGUGAAGUGUCCAGUACAGGUGAUGAAAAUAUUGUGGAACUACAUAGAGGUGAUGAAGGAACAACUGUGAACGUACUAAGUGACACUGAAAUGUAUGCUUUAAAGUGGUGAAUUUCACCCCAAUAAAAAUACAUAAAUGAAGAAACAAAUGACAGUACGCACUCAACUAAGGAUGGGUACAACCACCUAUGACAACUCCUAAAAGGAGCACAGCAAACCAUAGGAACAUUCUAGAGAAUGGCACUUUCAGCGUCCUGGAAAACACCUCAGGGGAACAUCCUGACACCAUGGCCUUGGGGAUUUCCCAUUCGAUGGAAGACAAGAGGUUUUCCUCAUAGACUAUUUUGCUUUUCCACCUCUAUACAACCGCAUCCUCCUUUUCCUCUAUCCCUGGAUUAGGCUGUACACACAAGGACAGUGAGCACAGAAGAACUGAAACCUGAAACUUGUAUAGAUACGAGAUCAUGUGGCAUCCACCUAGACAGGAGCCAGUAUAGCAUGCCUGCCAUUUUGAAUCAUCUCCCACUCCAUGGCUGGCACCUGGGAGAGGGUUUUGUGGGCCCUCUGCUGGUUAUGUCGGGAUGUGGAGCAGAUGGCACGUACCUCAGAAAGGCCAGAGUGCGGUUAAUCUUCAGAGCAUCUGCCAGAGCCUUGGCCCCUUGAGGUCCGAUGGAGUUGCUGCGGAGGCUGGCGGGAAGAAGAGAGAGAAAGAACUGUUUUCUUUCAUCCAAUUCCCAGGGAGGAAAGAAAGAAGUUACACUGACCUUUAAAUCUACGCUCUUUGAAAAUAACGGGGUUUAAGAUUUCAUGUUUUGUGGAGAUACUUAUUCAGGUGAACAAGUAAGGAAUUUCCCAGUAUGAUGGGGGGGUCAGCGGGGGUUGGGGGGAGGAGCAGGAUCUGAUGGCCGUGGCUUGGGCCAAGUAUAGAGAGGAGAAUCAUACCAGCUUCAGGGCCAAAAUUCUGGUGCCUCCCUGGACUGAUCCCCACAACUGACGAGGAGCCAGGAAUUUGCUCACUCUGCUGUCCUUCCAACCGACCCAGGGGACGGUGUGGUCUGGGGGACUUCGCAAGAUGGCUGACAAGCUUUCCCUGUCCCAGUGGUGGAACGUUGGCCUCUGGUGUCCUACUUACUCCAGAGCGGUCAGACUUCUGUUGACCAGGAGGGAUCUGGCCAGAGCUUUGGCCCCUUUGUUACUGAUCUGGUUCUCAGCCAAGCUGCCCAAGGAGAAGGAGAAGAGUGGUUAUUGCAGGUCUACAACUGUCAUGGCCUCUUCCUCAACACCAGGCUUGUGAUCCAAACCUCCCGGUUUCACCAGCAUCAUGAGGGCCUGGACGCAGGUGGAGAUGACGUGAGCCCUGGAGCAGAAUCGCCCAGGCCAGGAAAGCCUCUGAGCCAAGUAAGAGGGAUUGCAUUUCUAUCUCUGGCUGCUAGCCCAAGGGGAUCCUGCUAAUAGCUGGCCCUCAUUCAGUGCUUCCUCUGUGCCUGGCCCGUCCUCACCACUUGCCUUGAGUUAACCCACUGAAGCUGCUUCAACAACCGGAAGGGGGAAUGUGCAGAAAAGGGUUAACCUUGCCCCCAGUUCCAGAGAGGUGACCUCUGAACGCUUGGAAUGUCCUGCCUGAUAAGUCUGUCUGUGUUUACCUGGGGCCCUUGGGCCGUGCGGUGGCAGCCUGACGUCCCUACCUCCGGAGGGGCUUCCCAUGACCCACCUCCAGUAAAAUGUCUGGAUCCAAGCCCGGGUGCGCCUCCCUGGUUGGGACGCUUCAAGUGUGCUGUUGCGCGUGGUGGCUGGGGAGGCGGGCCCUGUCUGCACCACCACAGCGGAAGGACAACUGAAAGCUUGCCCCUGUCUCUCUGGGGCCCGCCUCAUGCACCCUUCCCUCUGCACAUUUAAAUCCGUAUCCUUUUGAUGUCCUGAACCACAAGUGCAGCUACAACAGCUCUUCUGGGUUCUGUGAGUCCUUCUAGUGAAUCAUUAAACCUUUGGGGGGGGGUCCCGGAGACCCCAGACUCACAGAUACCAUUUUAACCCCAUUUUGACACUCCUUUGGCACAGAGUUGACUGUACAGGGUCACACAGAGCCCACCGCUCACCACUGUCUUCCGUGACUUCUUUUGGCUCCUGACUCACUCCGUGUUUGUUUUUGUUUUCUCAGAGAUUAUUCCUGAACCCAGAGGGAGGCUUAAGUGAGGAUGAAGAAUUCCUCUCUGGAUCCUGUCCUCCAGACUCCUCUCCCUAGUUCUAACCACCCCCAGGUCACAAGCCCACUCCUCGGUGUUACUGAGACUUGGAAAUGUGAUCACAGGAGAUUUCACAAGCACGAAACUCUAUUUUGCCGUCAGCACAUAGACUUGUGUCUCAUCAUACCAUUAAAGAUCAAUGUUUAAAUUUUAUUUUUUUGUACUCGUUUAAAUAAAAGUUCAAAUUUAAAUCCAAA